GAUGAAGAACGCAGCGAAAUGCGAUACGUAAUGUGAAUUGCAAAUUCAGUGAAUCAUCGAGUCUUUGAACGCACAUUGCGCCCCCUGGUAUUCCGGGGGGCAUGCCUGUCCGAGCGUCAUUGCUGCCCUCAAGCACGGCUUGUGUGUUGGGCCCCGUCCUCCGAUCCCGGGGGACGGGCCCGAAAGGCAGCGGCGGCACCGCGUCCGGUCCUCGAGCGUAUGGGGCUUUGUCACCCGCUCUGUAGGCCCGGCCGGCGCUUGCAGAUCAACCCAAAUUUUUAUCCAGGUUGACCUCGGAUCAGGUAGGGAUACCCGCUGAACUUAAGCAUAUCAAUAAGCGGAGGA
rnacentral:misc_RNA from 1 species